AGGCCGAAAGGCGUAGUCGAUGGGAAACGGGUUAAUAUUCCCGUACUUGGUGUUACUGCGAAGGGGGGACGGAGAAGGCUAUGUUGGCCGGGCGACGGUUGUCCCGGUUUAAGCGUGUAGGCUGGUUUUCCAGGCAAAUCCGGAAAAUCAAGGCUGAGGCGUGAUGACGAGGCACUACGGUGCUGAAGCAACAAAUGCCCUGCUUCCAGGAAAAGCCUCUAAGCAUCAGGUAACAUCAAAUCGUACCCCAAACCGACACAGGUGGUCAGGUAGAGAAUACCAAGGCGCUUGAGAGAACUCGGGUGAAGGAACUAGGCAAAAUGGUGCCGUAACUUCGGGAGAAGGCACGCUGACACGUAGGUGAAGUGAUUUACUCAUGGAGCUGAAGUCAGUCGAAGAUACCAGCUGGCUGCAACUGUUUAUUAAAAACACAGCACUGUGCAAACACGAAAGUGGACGUAUACGGUGUGACGCCUGCCCGGUGCCGGAAGGUUAAUUGAUGGGGUCAGCGCAAGCGAAGCUCCUGAUCGAAGCCCCGGUAAACGGCGGCCGUAACUAUAACGGUCCUAAGGUAGCGAAAUUCCUUGUCGGGUAAGUUCCGACCUGCACGAAUGGCGUAAUGAUGGCCAGGCUGUCUCCACCCGAGACUCAGUGAAAUUGAACUCGCUGUGAAGAUGCAGUGUACCCGCGGCAAGACGGAAAGACCCCGUGAACCUUUACUAUAGCUUGACACUGAACAUUGAGCCUUGAUGUGUAGGAUAGGUGGGAGGCUUUGAAGUGUGGACGCCAGUCUGCAUGGAGCCGACCUUGAAAUACCACCCUUUAAUGUUUGAUGUUCUAACGUGGACCCGUUACCCGGGUUGCGGACAGUGUCUGGUGGGUAGUUUGACUGGGGCGGUCUCCUCCUAAAGAGUAACGGAGGAGCACGAAGGUUGGCUAAUCCUGGUCGGACAUCAGGAGGUUAGUGCAAUGGCAUAAGCCAGCUUGACUGCGAGCGUGACGGCGCGAGCAGGUGCGAAAGCAGGUCAUAGUGAUCCGGUGGUUCUGAAUGGAAGGGCCAUCGCUCAACGGAUAAAAGGUACUCCGGGGAUAACAGGCUGAUACCGCCCAAGAGUUCAUAUCGACGGCGGUGUUUGGCACCUCGAUGUCGGCUCAUCACAUCCUGGGGCUGAAGUAGGUCCCAAGGGUAUGGCUGUUCGCCAUUUAAAGUGGUACGCGAGCUGGGUUUAGAACGUCGUGAGACAGUUCGGUCCCUAUCUGCCGUGGGCGCUGGAGAACUGAGGGGGGCUGCUCCUAGUACGAGAGGACCGGAGUGGACGCAUCACUGGUGUUCGGGUUGUCAUGCCAAUGGCACUGCCCGGUAGCUAAAUGCGGAAGAGAUAAGUGCUGAAAGCAUCUAAGCACGAAACUUGCCCCGAG
rnacentral:rRNA from 1 species